GAUGAACGCUGGCGGCGUGCCUAAUACAUGCCAGUCGAGCGAACGGACGAGAAGCUUGCUUUUCUGAUGUUAGCGGCGGACGGGUGAGUAACACGUGGAUAACCUACCUAUAAGACUGGGAUAACUUCGGGAAACCGGAGCUAAUACCGGAUAAUAUUUUGAACCGCAUGGUUCAAAAGUGAAAGACGGUCUUGCUGUCGCUUAUAGAUGGAUCCGCGCUGCAUUAGCUAGUUGGUAAGGUAACGGCUUACCAAGGCAACGAUGCAUAGCCGACCUGAGAGGGUGAUCGGCCACACUGGAACUGAGACACGGUCCAGACUCCUACGGGAGGCAGCAGUAGGGAAUCUUCCGCAAUGGGCGAAAGCCUGACGGAGCAACGCCGCGUGAGUGAUGAAGGUCUUCGGAUCGUAAAACUCUGUUAUUAGGGAAGAACAUAUGUGUAAGUAACUGUGCACAUCUUGACGGUACCUAAUCAGAAAGCCACGGCUAACUACGUG
rnacentral:rRNA from 1 species